AUUGAACGCUGGCGGCAGGCCUAACACAUGCAAGUCGAACGAGUGGCGGACGGGUGAGUAAUGUCUGAGAAACUGCCCGAUGGCGGGGGAUAACUACUGGAAACGGUAGCUAAUACCGCAUACCAUCGGAUGUUCCCAGAUGGGAUUCGCGAGUAGGUGGGGUAAUGGCUCACCUAGGCGACGAUCCCUAGCUGGUCUGAGAGGAUGACCAGCAACACGGGAACUGAGACACGGGCCAGAAUCCUACGGGAGGCAGCAGGGGGGAAUAUUGCACAAUGGGCGCAAGCCUGAUGCAGCCAUGCCGCGUGUAUGAAGAAGGCCUUCGGGGUGUAAAGUACUUGCAGCGGGGAGGCGUUACCCGCAGAAGAAGCACCGGCUAACUCCGUGCCAGCAGCCGCGGUAAUAC
rnacentral:rRNA from 1 species